rnacentral:rRNA from 1 species
UGGGGAAUAUUGCACAAUGGGCGAAAGCCUGAUGCAGCAACGCCGCGUGAGUGAUGAAGGUCUUCGGAUUGUAAAGCUCUGUCUUUUGGGACGAUAAUGACGGUACCAAAGGAGGAAGCCACGGCUAACUACGUGCCAGCAGCCGCGGUAAUACGUAGGUGGCGAGCGUUGUCCGGAUUUACUGGGCGUAAAGGGUGCGUAGGCGGAUGUUUAAGUGAGAUGUGAAAUACCCGGGCUUAACUUGGGUGCUGCAUUUCAAACUGGAUAUCUAGAGCGCAGGAGAGGAGAAUGGAAUUCCUAGUGUAGCGGUGAAAUGCGUAGAGAUUAGGAAGAACACCAGUGGCGAAAGGCGAUUCUCUGGACUGUAACUGACGCUGAGGCACGAAAGCGUGGGUAGCAAAACAGGAUUAGAUACCCUGGUAGUCCACGCCGUAAAACGAUGAGUACUAGGUGUAGGAGGUAUCGACCCCUUCUGUGCCGCAGUAAACACAUUAAGUACUCCGCCUGGGAAGUACGAUCGCAAGAUUAAAA